rnacentral:misc_RNA from 1 species
AAGUCGUAACAAGGUCUCCGUUGGUGAACCAGCGGAGGGAUCAUUACCGAGUUCUUACAGAACCCUACCCUUGUGUGCUAAGCUACCACCUAGCUUUUACACAAGAGUCCCGGCUUGACCGCCGGGGCUAUCAGUGUAAAAAACAAAACCUCUGUAUUAUUAUUAUUAUCUCUCUGAGACUUUUAUACAAAAGAGUCAAAACUUUCAGCAACGGAUCUCUAGGCUCUUG